rnacentral:rRNA from 1 species
AGCAGCCGCGGUAAUUCCAGCUCCAAUAGCGUAUAUUAAAGUUGUUGCAGUUAAAAAGCUCGUAGUUGAAUUUCGGGAUUAAUAUGUUGGUCGUGCCUUGGUACGUACUGGCAUUUAUUGAUUCCUACCUUCUGAAGAACCUCGAUGUCAUUAAUUUGGUGUCUUGGGGAAUCAGGACCGUUACUUUGAAAAAAUUAGAGUGUUUAAAGCAGGCUCGCGCUUGAAUACAUUAGCAUGGAAUAAUGAAAUAGGACGUUUGAUUCUAUUUUGUUGGUUUCUAGGAUCGACGUAAUGAUUAAUAGGGAUAGUUGGGGGCAUUAGUAUUCAAUUGUCAGAGGUGAAAUUCUUGGAUUUAUUGAAGACUAACUACUGCGAAAGCAUUUGCCAAGGAUGUUUUCAUUAAUCAAGAACGAAAGUUAGGGGAUCGAAGACGAUCAGAUACCGUCGUAGUCUUAACCAUAAACUAUGCCGACUAGGGAUCGGAUGAUGUUAAUUUUUUAAUGACUCAUUCGGCGCCUUACG